CAGUAGCCGCGGUAAUACGUAGGCGGCAAGCGUUGUCCGGAAUUAUUGGGCGUAAAGCGCGCGCAGGCGGCCUAUCCAGUCUGUCUUAAAAGUUCGGGGCUCAACCCCGUGAUGGGAUGGAAACUAGUAGGCUAGAGUAUCGGAGAGGAAAGCGGAAUUCCUAGUGUAGCGGUGAAAUGCGUAGAUAUUAGGAAGAACACCAGUGGCGAAGGCGGCUUUCUGGACGAAAACUGACGUUGAGGCGCGAAAGCCAGGGGAGCGAACGGGAUUAGAUACCCCUGUAGUCCCUGUCUCUUAUACA
rnacentral:rRNA from 1 species